AAACAUGCAAGGCAUUCUGGGAGAUCGGAGACCAGUGAAGACUCAUUACUGACUCUGACUGCAAGUUUAAGAUGUGGAAAAUGUGACCCAAAACUGCAUGAAAUUGCAUGAUCAGCACAUCUGAUGCACCGCAGCCUGCAGCUGCAAACGCCAUUGAUGCCGUUUUACAAACCCACUAAAUGAAUGAAUGGAUGGUUCAUCCCGUGAAUCUGACUUCAUUCAUACUGAUGACUGAGUGCGUGCCCUGUUGAAGCGCUCGCGUGAUUUAUCCACGGCUCAGCCCGCAGCAGCGUCCGUAUGUGACAGAAACAAGAAGACUGAAGAAGAAGAUCAGGGAUGGAUCUUGAAAGUAGGCGCAGAAGAAGA